AAACUACGCCUGCAUGAAGUCGGAAUUGCUAGUAAUCGCAGAUCAGCAUGCUGCGGUGAAUACGUUCCCGGGCCUUGUACACACCGCCCGUCACACCAUGGGAGUCGGUAACACCCGAAGCCUGUAGUCUAACCGCAAGGAGGACGCAGUCGAAGGUGGGAUUGAUGACUGGGGUGAAGUCGUAACAAGGUAUC
rnacentral:rRNA from 1 species